UUAUUCACCAGAAAACCUUAUGGAUUGGACUGUUCUUUCUUCAUUACUGAAAUUUUCAGCAAGACUCCUGCUUAGCUGCAAUUCUCUCAUGAUUCAUCACUCUGUUCCUUGCAACAUAACUUUUAACAUUUCUUGCAGAAGAGGCAAUUCUAAAUCACACAGGAGGCUGGUAGACAAGGAAUGAAUUGUUCCACCUCACACAAGGCUAAGGUUUCCUAUUUUCUCUCUGUUUCCUAGUGCACAGUAAUGCACUGCAAUGCUGGAACUGCACUGAACGUCUGAGUCAGGGCCCAAAGGAGGAAUUUCAGCUGCCAUUAUCUUCACGUGUAACAAGCUGACCAGUUGACAUUCUUAAAGAUCUUACCCCAAAUAUCAAUAUUUCUGUUCUACAAACACAAUAUAAGCCACUUGGAUUUAA